UCAGGGGCGGCUGCUCGACACAGGCGACGCGAGCGGCGUGCGCUGGGAUCCAGCCGAGGCGCCAUGGAAAGAUGAAGGUAUGGAUCCAGCCGCCGCGGGCGACGCAGGGAUCAGUCGAUCCAGCCGCCGCGGGCGACACGGGGAUCAGUUGAUCCAGUCGGCUGCGGUCCAUGAGCAGUGUGGACGGACUCCCUCGACGCCGUCCUACCUCUCGGACCUAGGGAGAACCCUGGGUGCCGCCGCCAUGCCCUCCUGCUCGCGACUCCUCGCGGAGCGGACGGCCAUCCAUCCGGUAAUCAAUCUCGUGUACGCUUUGCCCGCAGGUGCAAAUUUUCCUCAAGGAUACUGGCUGGUCACACGAGCAUAAUGGAGAAAUCAGUCAACUAUUCAUGGAUCAGGCAAAAUUUUCCAUUGAUAAAUGUAUUUGGCGUGCUUUCAGUUUGUUGACUUUAACAAGCUUGGGAAUACAAUAGCUACGUUGGGUCAGUUAUUAGCUUUUACGUCUUCACAGAUAACUAAUGAUACUUUGCAGGCUAUUCAAAUUAUUUAUAUAGCCAAAUUGACACUAUGUUCAUCAUUAGAGAUUAUAUAAUUAAGGUGAAACAAUUCCAACCACAACUAUUUGGUUUGGGAACUAUAUGUAUUUUGCUGCUAGGAAUGUCAGGCACCUUUGAUAUUCUCAGUUUUCUUUAUUCUUGCUAUAAGUUUUACAUCACAGCAAGAAAAACACCCGACGUGGGCGAUCCGCCCGCGAAGUGGAAACGGGGGUACACGAGCGAUAAUGGCCGUUGCCUCCUGUAUUGGAUCCCAGCAACAUGGUUCUCAGCUAGGUGGUGUAUGUUGUUUCAUGCUAUGAGGAGAAAUUUCACAAAGCUUAUAGGAGACCAAAAUCCCACCCAAAUCAGGUAAACCUUGGGCAUGAGGGUCGAAAAGUUUUUUUUUCUUUGUCAAAGAAAUUCCUUAUUAACUGAUAUUGUGUCGUUGAUGCUUGGUCUAAUAAACAGAUUUAGCUUCAGUUUAGGUAAAUCUUCAAUUGGCUCCAGGUUAUCUGUGUUAUCAGAUUUCCAUGUUAGAGAAAAACUAUGCAAUCAAAAUUAUGUUGUCAUCCUGAAAUUAUCUAGCUCAUAAAGAUAGGAAACAAAAAAUAGAAGUUGGAUACCAAAGCAGGGGAUAGAAAUGUAGUACAAGAAUUAAUUUCAUCUUGUAGGGUAGUAUCAACAUAUUGCAAAUAUUCCAGUGAAAUAUCCGUGAGAUAAAAAUUAGGUGUACUCCAUUUUAUCGUGAUAAAACAAUACCAGUUACACCAAACAUCAAUGUAGUACCAUGUUCUAUGUUGCAACUGAGAGAUGAUGUGGUGGUAAAGCAGAAUUUGAGUAGUUGUCGAGUUCAUUGGUUCUGACCAUUUGAUCAUAUAUAUUACCUCUGUAAACUAAUAUAUGGAGAAAAUUUACUUUAUAAGAGUACUUUUGAUAGUGAUUCUGUAAAUGCCGGUACACAUAACUGAACUGCAAUGCUGCACUUGAACACUAUCAUGGAGCUUAGAACUUGUGUGGUGUUGUUCUUGCAAAAAAUAAAUGGAGUAAUAAUGUUUUUAAUAUCAGGAAAUAGAUAUAGAAAUGUGACCUGCACUAUGCUGGUAUAGUAUCCAGCAAUACCAGUUUUCUGUAUAUUAUCUACUCUUUAACAUUGUACUUAGUCCUUGUUCUAUUUGAUAGUCACUUUUACAUAUAAUGCAAAGUUUUCAGUUGUGCCUGUUAAGAAUUCAUGAUAUUUCUAUUUUUGCACCGGGCAAUGGAAUAGAGGUUACUUUGGAAUUCAGGCCAAAGUAACUCUGUAUAGAUUAUUGCAUAUGCAAGAGGGCCAUCUGAAUUUUUCUGGAAGCCAUGUGUAGCAAUUGAUAUGAAUAGAAAAGCUUUUGAAGGAUACAGUAAGCAAGCUGCUGGUUGCAUAGGCUACACUAUUUUGGUACAUCAGAAUCACAGUUUACAAGAUAUUCCGUUGCACUUUUAUCUUUUCGCCAUGGUAUUAGACAUGUUUGAAUCAUUGUUCAGACACAUGGCUGGCAUGCAUGUGAAGCAAAGUUUGUGACAUAUACUUCAUGUUGGCUACUUAUCAUGCCUUCGCAAAUAGAAAGACAUCAAUUGCAACUUGUUAUGCAACAUGAUAGCAAGUGAAGAGUUUGUGAUUGCUGUUAAGCAGUAUUUGAUUAGCAUCGCAACUCUUUUAAGUGAACUUAGAGGGAUUGGGUAUCAUCAGAAAUGAUGUAAUCAGUAUGGUAUAUGCUAUAGACAUACAAAGUUCCAUGGAAGUAUAUUAAUCUGUAUCAAUAGAUGCUUAAAACUGUAAAAAAAAUAUAAUAUUCCUUCUGCUUGAAGGAACGUCUUAUAUUGUGGGAUGAAGGGAAUACAUUAGAUAGUGGUUUAGUUUUUUCUUUAAUAGCUGGUCCCUUGCUGUUAUAGGCUUGCUUAUAUGGAGGUUGUCCGAUUGGGUAUUAAUAGAGGUGAUGUAAGAAGUAUGUUAUGCUUAGACAUAUGAAGUCCCAAAGAAGUAUCAAUGGAUGCAAAAAACUGUAAAUAAAGUUAUGUGUCCCUUCCAUUGCCAUACAUACGUAUUUUCCCAAGUUUGCUAGAGUUAUUUUUUUUACAAAAGCUAGAGUUAAUAGUGAGUUAGAUUUUUGUAACUCUGGCUCCUUGCUGUGUACUGACAUGCUUAUGUGGCUCCUCUUCUUGUAAGGAAUCAUGAUUG